rnacentral:misc_RNA from 1 species
UUACUCAUGGAGAGAGAAGUAUGAUUAGCAAUAACACAAUUGUUGUGCCGUGGAAAGGCCUUGCUGAACUUGAUCAGGCUCUGGGCUUCUUUAGAAUAAAUUUCAGCUGGAAUUGGUCCAGAAAUCUGGGUUUUCCCAGGUGGGUUCUUUGGCUGUUNUCUUUGGCUGUUUGGUGCAGAUUGCUGAGUGAAUCUGGAACUAAAGAAGAAUUGGAGGCAAACCAUAGAUAAGAUUUUGCUUAUGAGAUCUUGAAAAUGUUCGAGUUGAAGGAAAGUGAAGAUGGCCAGAUGGGAUCUGCUGUUGGCAUAUUUGCUUUCAUUUGAAUCUUUACUUUGAUGUUUAGCUAAUGUCACCAAUCUCUGAACUUCUCACUAAAUCGAC